UGAUACCAGGGUCAAAAGGCCAUGCGUUUCAUGCUUGCAUGGAAAAGCAUGGCCUUUUGACCCUGGUAUCAUCAUAAUAUUAUACGAAAGGAAACAGGAAACGUGACCUAUAAAGAAGCAAGGGUAUAUUUGGACGAAGUGUCG
rnacentral:sRNA from 1 species